CCUACGGGAGGCUGCAGUGGGGAAUAUUGCGCAAUGGGGGAAACCCUGACGCAGCAACGCCGCGUGAGUGAGGAAGUAUCUCGGUAUGUAAAGCUCUAUCAGCGGGGAAGAAAGAGGACGGUACCCGACUAAGAAGCCCCGGCUAACUACGUGCCAGCAGCCGCGGUAAUACGUAGGGGGCGAGCGUUAUCCGGAUUUACUGGGUGUAAAGGGAGCGUAGACGGCCAUGCAAGCCAGGGGUGAAAGCCCGGGGCCCAACCCCGGGACUGCCCUUGGAACUGCAUGGCUGGAGUGCGGGAGGGGCAGGCGGAAUUCCUGGUGUAGCGGUGAAAUGCGUAGAUAUCAGGAGGAACACCGGCGGCGAAGGCGGCCUGCUGGACCGCGACUGACGUUGAGGCUCGAAAGCGUGGGGAGCGAACAGGAUUAGAUACCCGAGUAGUC
rnacentral:rRNA from 1 species